rnacentral:lncRNA from 1 species
GAAGGAGAGCUAGUAGACGCAGGGUGACUCAAGGCACUUUUGUAGUUGAUGAUGCUAUAGGGCCAAGUGGUGCUGCUUCAAACAUGCCAGAAGAUGUCCCAAGAGCAAACACAAGAAGACCAAGAAGUGGAGCAACAAGAGAUGGUGCAGCCGUAGAGAGAGGGAGAAGUUUAAAACAUGGCAGAUUGUACCACUUGCUCUUUGGGUCUAACUAGUUAAUUUCCUGGUUUAUGUCAUGCUUAUGAAAUUUGAAGAUUUGGUUAUGAUGGUUUUUGGAACUAUGUAGUUGUGAUAUGAACUUGAAGGCCUUUUGGAACUAUAUAGCAGUGUGAUAUUUAUUUCCUCAAGC